GUGUUGUUUCAGCAGCACCUUAUAAAGGACUGAAAGGCUACAGAGAAGAUUAGCACAGCCCCUCUGCAAAUAUGAACACAAAUUUCUGAAGCAUUUCAUAUUUUU
ensembl:snRNA U6 U6 spliceosomal RNA